GUCACCCUACGGGGCGCAGCAGUGAGGAAUAUUGGUCAAUGGCCGCAGGGCUGAACCAGCCAAGUCGCGUGAGGGAAGACGGCCCUACGGGUUGUAAACCUCUUUUGCCGGGGAGCAAGCCUGAGCACGUGUGCCCAGGCGGAGAGUACCCGGAGAAAAAGCAUCGGCUAACUCCGUGCCAGCAGCCGCGGUAAUACGGAGGAUGCGAGCGUUAUCCGGAUUUAUUGGGUUUAAAGGGUGCGCAGGCGGGCUGUUAAGCCGGCGGUAAAAGCCCGGGGCUCAACCCCGGCGAGCCGUUGAAACUG
rnacentral:rRNA from 1 species